rnacentral:rRNA from 1 species
UACAGAGGGGGCAAGCGUUGUUCGGAAUUACUGGGCGUAAAGGGCGCGUAGGCGGCCCGCUAAGUCGAACGUGAAAUCCCUGGGCUCAACCCAGGAACUGCGUCCGAUACUGGCAGGCUUGAAUCCGGGAGAGGGAUGCGGAAUUCCAGGUGUAGCGGUGAAAUGCGUAGAGAUCGGGAGGAACAUCCAUGGCGAAGGCAGCUACCUGGACCAACACUGACACUGAGGCACGAAAGCGUGGGGAGCAAACAGG